AACCGCCGUCAUCCGGGGCCAGGUGCCUCCUCCUCCCAGUGAGCGGAAAGAAGCGACCGCCCCACCAGCGGCCCAAAGAACGGCUUCCGGCAGAGUCGCCUGUGCGAACCGACAGAGGGGCGGAGAGGUGGAGGGGCGGACCCUGCGGACGCCUCGAAGCAGACACCUCCGCCCACGGAACCUCCCCGGCAUUUCCGGGGCCGCUCUAGGCCGCCCGGAGGCGGGCGCUGCUCGUUGGUAUUUCCGGCAACGGAGUGCCAAGCCGAGGAUGAGGGCUGGUCUUGGCGAGGAACCCGGGUAAAGGGCAGGGUGAGCCUGCUUGGAGCGCAGGGAUCGCCGGAGGUUGCGUUGGCCCUUGAGUUCUUUCCCUGGGCCUCUCAGUACGGCCUCUGACUAGACCCAGGCUCCCGAGGUUCGCUAGCGUGGCUUUUCCUUGUCCUUCCUAUCCCACCUCCCUCCCUGUUUACCCCCGCGAAGCAGUAAACACAACGGCCCGAAUGUUGGGAAACCGCCCCUCUGCUUGCACUUUGUGACGCCCGCCUACCCUCAAGAGCCCCCCGCAGGGUCGUAGCCGGAGUGAGGAAGAAUUACAGACCUAAUGGCCCGGUUACCGUGAGACUGCAAGUUGGGAACUAGCGCAUAGGUUCCUGCACAGUGUAUAAAAUACACGGACUGAUUUAAGGCGAGGAUCGCAGGCGCCUUGGUGAUUGGAGGACCACAAGAAAGGAGUUCGGAAUCCACUGUUUUGGGGGGAAGAUGUGGGGAGAAGAGGCAUUGAACAUGGAAUGGAAAGGAGAGACAGACUAGAAGAGAGCAGCGUUUCUGGUGGAAGGGAUGUUGUUAGGUGCCUGGGGUGGAUUUUCAGCUCAUAGGGACCCCAUGUGACAGAUUAGGACUUCCAAUUGGGUUUUCUAGGUUUUAAUCUUUACAGAAGCUGAUCUUCAGCUCUCUCUCCGAUGGAGCCGCUGGUGUGCUGAUGAUUUGCCACGUUGUUCCAGGAAUUCCUCAGACGGUGUAGAAGAGUCUAUGUAUCUGCUUAAUUGCUCGGCUGCUAGAGGGCACGAAGCCUCUAAAGAUAAACUUCAAUUUGUUAAAACCCAAGGUAAAUAUUUCGGCCACAUUCUGACUUCACAGGGGAUCCACUUAGAUCCGCAAAGACGUCAAAAACAUUUAUAGCUAUCCCUCGCGGAUACAAAAAAAAAAAAGCUUAGAGAUUUUUAGGCCUUU